AAAUCUGGCGUCCUCAGGGCGUCCGAGUUGUAAUCUAUAGAGGCGUUUUCCGUGCCGGACCGUGUCCAAGUUCCUUGGAACAGGAUAUCAAAGAGGGUGACAAUCCCGUACUUGACACGACGACCGGUGCUCUGUGAUACGUCUUCUACGAGUCGAGUUGUUUGGGAAUGCAGCUCAAAAUGGGUGGUGAGUUCCAUCUAAAGCUAAAUAUUGGCGAGAGACCGAUAGCGAACAAGUACCGUGAGGGAAAGAUGAAAAGCACUUUGGAAAGAGAGUUAAACAGUACGUGAAAUUGUUGAAAGGGAAACGAUUGAAGUCAGUCGUGACCGAGAGGCUCAGCCGGUUCUGCCGGUGUAUUCCCCUCGGUCGGGUCAACAUCAGUUUUGUCCGGUGGAUAAGGACGGUAGGAAGGUGGCACCCUCGGGUGUGUUAUAGCCUGCCGUCGCAUACAUCGGGUGAGACUGAGGAACGCAGCUCGCCUUUAUGGCCGGGGUUCGCCCACGUCCGAGCUUAGGAUGUUGACAUAAUGGCUUUAAACGACCCGUCUUGAAACACGGACCA
rnacentral:rRNA from 1 species